UACGGAGGAUGCAAGCGUUAUCCGGAAUGAUUGGGCGUACAGCGUCCGCAGGUGGCAAUGUAAGUCUGCUGUCAAAGCGUCUGGCUCAACCAGAUAAAGGCAGUGGAAACUACAUAGCUAGAGUAAGGUAGGGGUAGAGGGAAUUCCUGGUGUAGCGGUGAAAUGCGUAGAGAUCAGGAAGAACACCGGUGGCGAAAGCGCUCUGCUGGACCUUAACUGACACUGAGGGACGAAAGCUAGGGGAGCGAAUGGG
rnacentral:rRNA from 1 species